rnacentral:lncRNA from 1 species
CUCCAUUAGAAAUUCUGGAAUAGGCUGGUUAUUCCUCGAAGCUAAGACUGGUUGCUGCAUUAUCAAAACAUUAAAUAUUUUUCACUUAAGUUAUGGUGGAAAUCGGUAAAUGCUGAAAAUCAAAAGUUUGUGAAAUUCAUGUCAAAAAAUCAUCUCAACCCAAAAUCUUAAUAGGCCUCGAGAUAUAAUUUAUAUUAUUUCUUAACUUUUCUUUCCAAGUGAAAAUUGUUUGCUUAAUUUUAUUAAUUAAAAUAAAAAUGAUAUGAUUCGAACUCAUGAUCGUUUGAUUAUCAGAACUUUAAUAUCAUAUAAAAAAACAAUCUCAAUCAAAAACCUUAAACUAUUAGAAAAGGCUUCAAGAUGUUGCUCAUGUUAUUGUAUAACAGGUUAGACGCGAAUUGAAGGUACUUCUUACCAGCCGGCUCACAUCAUUAUCGCUCAAGGUAAGUGACUUCAAGUGAAAGAGAUCGGAAAAAAAUGCAGUAAUACCGUCGAGAAUCUUAUCUGCAAAUUGAUCAUAAGCUGUCAGUAGUUUGAUGAGUUAUUGAGUCAUGUGAGUAUUGAGUUCCACGUUAUUAGAAAUGAGAUCAGAAGUGAGGUGCUUGCUUAUAUAUAUUGAAAAGAUUGCUAUAUAUGGCCUAUGCCAUCAUCAAAUUUCCAUGUAUGCACAGUAAUUUUAGUUAGUGUGAAGUACUCUUAAGGCUUUUGUAAUGCUUUCUCGUAGUAUAUUGAGUUUGCUAACAUUUCUAAAGAAAAAGUAGCUAACAUAUAUACCAUGUGCUUGAUAGAAGAAAGACCCAACGAUUUCUGGAAGAAUCUCCAAGUUCGACAGACCUAUAUCAGACAACUGCAUCCAGUGGCGGGGGCUGGCAAAGGCCCGCAUAAGCGGGGGCAAGCGCUGCAAGAAAAUUGUUUUUUCAGCUCCUCUCGUAACAAUAUUUAUAAUUUAAACCAAAAUAAUAAAACAACCGAAACCUUGGCUCUCUUUAAUUUUAUUUUCUGACUCGCCCCUGACUGCAUCAUCAAACAUUAAUUCCAUUAGUGUCGAGGAAGGGUUAUAUUUUGUAUCAUGUGACUUGAAGGAAAUAUUAAUGGCCAAACUAUUGUGUUUCACUAUCCCAUUAAGAACACGUUGAGAAUUUAAGACUCUAAUUCUUGGGCCUCCUGACAUAUAAAAUAUCAAUAACAUCACGUAUAAGAAUGAAUUGAAAAAGAAUUUGACUGAAAGUAUGCAAUAACUCUGAUGAGAGAUACUGAUAUUGUUGUAUUUUUUGCAGCUUCGAUCCAUUAAUGACAACCAGCAGCCCGUUAGGCACCAACGAAUAAUAGGAAAGU